rnacentral:rRNA from 1 species
CUAUCAGGUAGUAGUGGGUGUAGCGUACAUACUAGCCUACGACGGGUACGGGUUGUGAGAGCAAGAGCCCGGAGAUGGAUUCUGAGACACGAAUCCAGGCCCUACGGGGUGCAGCAGGCGCGAAAACUUUACAAUGCUGGAAACAGCGAUAAGGGGACCUCGAGUGCCAGGUUACAAAUCUGGCUGUCGUGAUGCCUAAAAAGCAUUGCAUAGCAAGGGCCGGGCAAGACCGGUGCCAGCCGCCGCGGUAACACCGGCGGCUCGAGUGGUAGCCGUUAUUAUUGGGUCUAAAGGGUCUGUAGCCGGCCGGAUAAGUCUCUUGGGAAAUCUGGCAGCUUAACUGUCAGGCUUUCAGGAGAUACUGUCUGGCUCGAGGCCGGGAGAGGUGAGAGGUACUUCAGGGGUAGGGGUGAAAUCUUGUAAUCCUUGAAGGACCACCAGUGGCGAAGGCGUCUCACCAGAACGGACCUGACGGCAAGGGACGAAAGCUAGGGGCACGAACCGGAUUAGAUACCCGGGUAGUCCUAGCCGUAAACGAUACUCGCUAGGUGUCGGCCACGGUGCGACCGUUGUCGGUGCCGUAGGGAAGCCGUGAAGCGAGCCACCUGGGAAGUACGGCCGCAAGGCUGAAACUUAAAGGAAUUGGCGGGGGAGCAC